GACGAACGCUGGCGGCGUGCCUAAUACAUGCAAGUCGAACGAACCGCGACUGAGUGCUUGCACUUGGUCAAGGUGAGUGGCGAACGGGUGAGUAACACGUGGGUAACCUACCUCAUAGUGGGGGAUAACAGUCGGAAACGACUGCUAAUACCGCAUAGGACAUGGAAUCACAUGAUUCUGUGAGGAAAGGUGGCGCAAGCUAUCGCUAAGAGAUGGACCCGCGGUGCAUUAGCUAGUUGGUAGGGUAACGGCCUACCAAGGCGAUGAUGCAUAGCCGACCUGAGAGGGUGAUCGGCCACAUUGGGACUGAGACACGGCCCAAACUCCUACGGGAGGCAGCAGUAGGGAAUCUUCCGCAAUGGACGCAAGUCUGACGGAGCAACGCCGCGUGAGUGAAGAAGGUCUUCGGAUCGUAAAGCUCUGUUGUUAGAGAAGAACAGCGCAUAGAGUAACUGUUAUGCGUGUGACGGUAUCUAACCAGAAAGCCACGGCUAACUACGUGCUAGCAGCCGCGGUAAUACGUAGGUGGCGAGCGUUGUCCGGAUUUAUUGGGCGUAAAGGGAGUGUAGGCGGUCUUUUAAGUCUGAUGUGAAAGCCCACGGCUCAACCGUGGAGGGUCAUUGGAAACUGGGAGACUUGAGUGCAGAAGAGGAGAGCGGAAUUCCAUGUGUAGCGGUGAAUGCGUAGAUAUAUGGAGGAACACCAGUGGCGAAGGCGGCUCUCUGGUCUGUAACUGACGCUGAGGCUCGAAAGCGUGGGGAGCAAACAGG
rnacentral:rRNA from 1 species